rnacentral:lncRNA from 1 species
UUUAACUACAUAAAGAUUCAAAUUGUUCGGUGGCAUUCAUUACUUUUAGGGAAAAAGAUCCCAAAUAUUUAGCUUUGCAGGACCUGGCUACUGCUUGCCUAUUCAUAUCUCUUACUACUUUACCUCUUCACCUUCUGCUUUCCAGUCAUGCUGAGACACAGUGGCCUUCUUUUAGGUCCUCCAAUACUUUGUCCCACUUGUCUCAGGACCUUUGCUUAGGCAGUUUCCUUGGUCCACAUCUCUCCCACUCUCACCCACCCCAACAACCAAACACACACCUAGUAAUGCCCACUCGUCUUUCAGAUUCAGAUUUCAGACGGAUGUGGUAAUUUUUAGAGUCAGGAAGAGCCACAGGAGAGGUAGAUAUUUCGGUGAGGAGCCAAGACAACAGGAUAUCUGUGUAUAAAUGAUGGGGAGAUGGGCUGAAGAAGGUCCAGUUAGAAAAGUACAAAGUGAAGGCCACAGGGGUGAUGACUCAUUAGAAGUUCUUGAGAAGGUGAAAGGUGAUUGAGUGCGCCAGGAUGAAUCUUGGGAGAGGUGGAAUCAAACUACUACUAUCGCCCGAAGGAAAAUGAGUAGACAUGGAAGCAGUAACAAUAGCCACAACUAAUUUAUGCUCUUUAAGCAUCAGGAACUUUCAGUGUUUUCUUUAACCCUUACAAAUCAUUGAGUACAAUACCACCGCACCUGUCCCGAACCAGUGAUGCUAAGGGGGCGGGUCCUUGGCUCUGAUAGGCUCCCUUCCUCCCCGGAACCCAGCCCAGUCCCCAGGUAGGCGGAUGAAUGCACCCUUCCGGCCGGGAGGUACUUUGGUGGCGUUCUCCUCCAGGACUGGGCUGUUGCAGAAGUACCCCCUUAACCCUGUGGAAACAGGUUCCGCUGGGAAGCAGGAGGAGUGAAAGCUACCUUUCUCCCAGGUGGCUUACGGGAGCAGGGAAAAGGGACGUGGAAUCCGCUGCCUGGUUGAUGCUUGCGUGCUGCUGGGGCAAUGAGUCGGCUCCAGUGCGCAGGCGCAGAGGCCUGCUUGGUGUCGAGUUUCUUUCUCCUGCUGUCUUAGAAUCCUAGCUCCUGCCUGACUGGAGUCCCAGGUGACUCUGCAGUUUGGUUUGCACGAAUUGUGUUAAUAAAUUAAGUUGGUAGUAAUUUAACAGCCUAUCAAUAGGGAAUUGGUUAAUUAAAAUAUAGCUGUGUACGCAUAGUGGAGUUCCCUGGUGGCUUAGUGGGUUAAGGAUCCGCCAUUGUCACUUUUGUGGCUCCAAUGGCUGUUGUGGCACGGGUUCCAUCCCUGGCCCAGGUACUCCGCAAGCCUUGGGUGUGGCAAUUAAAAAAGAUAUGUAUACACACACACGGUGGAAUAUUUUGCAGCCUCGACUGCAAACCAGAAAUCUAAAGUGUGUGUGUGUGUGUGUGUGUGUGUGUGUGUGUGUGUGUUUUGGUCUCUUUGUAGUGGAAGUACCGAUAUCCUGUCUUUGAAUUGUUAUUUAUGGCUGGUGGCCAAGAUGUUAAUUAAAAGCCUUGCAAGUGGGACAAUGCAGUUUCCUUCCCUGGGUUGAAUAAAGUUAUGAACAAAUUGUAGUUAUAAUGAGAGAAGAGUUUUUCUCACAUAAUGAGAGGAAUUUCCUCUGUGCCAAGUGGGUCUGCGGUAGGGAGCUGGCAUGGUGGUUAGCUCUUGGAAAAGAACUUUCCUUAAGGGUCUUUCUCAGAGGUGAGGAGACCUCAGCAGAGAGCCUAGAGCUGAACUGUUAGGAGGGGAGGUUGCCAGGGGGUUUGUAAUCGGGGGCUUGCUGGAGGAAAGGCACUGCAGGAAGAACCUCUGAAAGACUGCAAGAAAAAGAAUCAGCUAGUGAGGAAGACUCUGCUGUUCUCCACAUUUCCCAGGUGGAAGUCAGCGAUCCAUUGGGACAACUGAACUGUAAGCUCUUAGGGUGCUUUUUUGGAGGCCCCUUGUUAAGCUUGAAGUUAGAGAGGUAGGCCUCUCACACCUACCAUCUCUGGUUGGAGGGUUAGCAGGACUCUCUAAAGAAAUCAUCCAACCCCUUCCAAACUUUACUCUGACCCUUUUAUAUCUUCUUUAUGGGCAGGAUGAUGGAUUUAAGCUUUUAUAUCUUUAUGGGCAGGAUGAUGGUUUUAAGCCAGGUCCUUCUUUGCAAAUCCACCAGGAUGGUUUUUUCACAACUGACUCACACCUCCAAAAUAGGAAGAGGUUUGGAGUAGUGUUGCAGCAUUAUCAAAAUCGAACUACAAGAAGUGAAUAAAUACUUUUUUUUUUUUUCUUUUUAGGUUCACACCUGCAGCAUAUGGAAAUUCCCAGGCUAGGAGGAGAAUUGGAGCUUCAGCUGCUGGGCUACUCCACAGCCAUAGCAAUGCCAAAUCUGAGCUCAUGGGGCAAUGCCGGAUCCUUAAUCCACUGAGCGGGACCAAGGAUCAAACCUGUGUCCUCAUGGAUACUGGUUGGGUUCAUUACCACUAAGCCACAAUGGGAACUCCAAAAACUUUAUGGAAAUAAAAGAGCUUGCUUAACUCUAUCUCAGGAAACAAGGCUAUUCCUAGAUUCAGACUUGUCUAAAUCCUAGUUCUGCUAAACAAGCAGAGAUCAAUACUAAGUAAUUCUUUCUCAGUGCUCUUUUUAUAAGUGCCAUUGUAUUGAGAAUGCAUUGUAUUGCCGUUGUAUUGAGAGAGCUGAAAUCAAAGGGGUGCCAAGAGAGGGGAAAUGUGCUUUCCCCGUUGACAAUUUCAGGCAUAACCUAUAACUUAGCCACUCUUAGAUAAUAAGUCCUUGAAUCACUUUCAGACCCAAGAGUAGCUUUCUUUGAGUAAUUAUAAUUCCAGUCCAUUGUCAUAAUGAUCUAACAACUUUCUUUUAUCCAUUUGACCUCUUUACUUUCCUUUCAGACCUGGUUAAAAAUGAUCAAACCACACACAAGUGUUCACUUAAAGAGCACUGCCCCAUCCCCUCCCUAUCUUCAGUCCUGCUGCCCAGAGGGAGCAGUUAAAUACUGUUGUUUAUUUUUAUGUUUAGUAGAUUUUAUUACUUCAACCCUGGCUUCUCAGUUGGUACUAAAAUUCCACUACUUGGUGAUGCUAAUGUUUUGGAAAAAUGAGGGGGCUGACUCUUUACAGAUAAGCUGUGACCCUUUACCUUCUGCAUCUGGACCCUUUCCCGCUGAUGAUCUUGAGACAGUGGGUAAGUUGAAGGUCUUUGUGAAGGACCAGAAAGCCAGGCUUGCUGGCUGUUAAAAAAAGAAAAAAAAAAA